UACGUAGGGUGCAAGCGUUGUCCGGAAUUAUUGGGCGUAAAGAGCUCGUAGGCGGUCUGUCGCGUCUGCUGUGAAAACCCGGGGCUCAACUCCGGGCUUGCAGUGGAUACGGGCAGACUAGAGUUCGGUAGGGGAGACUGGAAUUCCUGGUGUAGCGGUGAAAUGCGCAGAUAUCAGGAGGAACACCGGUGGCGAAGGCGGGUCUCUGGGCCGAUACUGACGCUGAGGAGCGAAAGCGUGGGGAGCGAACAGG
rnacentral:rRNA from 1 species